rnacentral:rRNA from 1 species
GACGAACGCUGGCGGCGUGCCUAAUACAUGCAAGUUGAGCGCUGAAGGCUGGUACUUGUACCGACUGGAUGAGCAGCGAACGGGUGAGUAACGCGUGGGGAAUCUGCCUUUGAGCGGGGGACAACAUUUGGAAACGAAUGCUAAUACCGCAUAAAAACUUUAAACACAAGUUUUAAGUUUGAAAGAUGCAAUUGCAUCACUCAAAGAUGAUCCCGCGUUGUAUUAGCUAGUUGGUGAGGUAAAGGCUCACCAAGGCGAUGAUACAUAGCCGACCUGAGAGGGUGAUCGGCCACAUUGGGACUGAGACACGGCCCAAACUCCUUCGGGAGGCAGCAGUAGGGAAUCUUCGGCAAUGGACGAAAGUCUGACCGAGCAACGCCGCGUGGGUGAAGAAGGUUUUCGGAUCGUAAAACUCUGUUGGUAGAGAAGAACGUUGGUGAGAGUGGAAAGCUCAUCAAGUGACGGUAACUACCCAGAAAGGGACGGCUAACUACGUG